CUCUCUCUCUCUCACACACACACAGACACACUCUUUCUCACACACACACACACACACAAGCACACACUCUCUCUCUCUCACACACACACACACACACUCACACACACACACACACAUGCACAAAUGCUAGAUUUUUUAAAUUCUGCUUUAGCAAGAGUGACUCACAACACAGCAGCAGCACAUAUGUUAAACAUCUACUUUUAUGAGGAAACAGUAUACAUCAGACACAAUCCCCUACAGAUGUUUUACAAGACUGUGUUCUGUCCUUAAGCAAGAGCCUCAUUUUUCUCCCACGUUUUUUAAAAUGACAUUCCAGAUUGAUAAUCAGACAGGCCAUAAUCUUUUAAUAUACAUUUGGUAUACAGGCUCUCAACAUUCCACAUUUAAAUUAAGAAUUUUAAUCUAAUUUGAAUUAGAUUUCUUAACUGAUCAUUAACUGAUAAUCUUGUUAGUAACUUUUUCUUAUUUGUUCAUUUUAAGCUGCUGUGUGCUCGAGUCAUUAAAAGUAAUGAGUAGAAAUGAGAGUGAAAUUAUCUAAGACAAAGCGUUUGUCUUUAGUGUCUUUUGUCUUGGUGACGUAUCAAUGGGAUGAAUACGGAAAAUAGGCCUACAUGCACAUUUAAUGACCAACUAAAGGCCUGGUAUUUUAAAUGUUUUGGCAAUUUGCAUUUGACUUGUAUUUUUUUGUAACUUUUCAAAAUGAGAAAUAAGAAUUACAAUGUUUUCACUUCUGUCAAACUGUCAUUUUAAAUGAGCCCAUUGUCCUCUGUCACAAAAGCUAUUCAAAAGAAAGACAGGGUCACAAAGGUUAUCAGUCAACUGGUAUAAUCAAGAUACACUGUCGAGAAUACUGAACGAUAUGCAAAUUAAUGCAAGAAAAGGAAGCAUGGAGUAUUGUUCUUUGAUGCCUACUGUGUGUUGGCUCAGUUGUGUUAUACCAUGGUCCCUACCUGUGGAACGCUCUGUACUGUGCAUUUCCAACCCAGUGUGCGUUAGAAAGCGUUCGGUAUGGAUCAAGCAUGAUUUUCAAAGUGCUCUUUCUUGAUAUUCUCUUUUCAUUUUUUAAAAGUUAUUCUGUCUCUGUCAUUUAUUUCUUUAUUUCUUUAUUUUAUGUGUGUGCAUGGAACCGUCUUCCCAUUUCCGACUGUUUCACUCGUUUUAUAUGCUUGGUUCAUUUUUUUAUUCACAUGAAUUUUUUUAAAACGCACCUUUUUUGAACGUAUUUCAAACCCAGCGCCUAACACAACUGACCAUGCGUGUUUCUCCAAGGCGGCCGUAUCAUUUCAGUGCCUGAACAGCGUCUGGAUUGGAGCUAGACAGCAUGGGCUGCGCAGGCCAUUCCAAUAACCUCUCUGUUUGCUAUUCGAGUCAGCGCGCUCAUCCAUCGAAACGAGAGGGACUUGCUUUUAACAUCACCGCGCAGCAGCGCUCAUCACGCUAAAGUUCAUUUUAAGGCGUCAUGAUGCAAACUCACAGCGAGACCGCGGAGCCGCGGGAAGGACGGGUUUGGGUAACCCAAACUGACAGCUCGGCAGACGGGGAAGACGCUCUCCAUAAACACGAGCCGCCAUAUCAGCCAGGGAGCAGCUCUCAGGAGAUUCUUCACAAACUGCACUGCCCCCGCCAGUCUAUAAACGCAGCCCUCAAAGUCAAAGAAGGCCCCGGAGUCGACGGUGCCGGGCUUAAAGAAGAAAUAAUCAUUUAAAGAUUUAAUUUCACCUGGGUAAUUCUCAUGCAACAACCGAGCACCACUAAAGCCAAUUUUCAGAAAGCCUGCCGCUCAUUGAAUAGCCGUCAGGCGCGCUUCUACCCAGCGAAGGUGAUUGCUUUUUAGCCGCCGCGUGUUCUCUGAAAAAUAAAUAGAAUGGAAAUCAAAA